rnacentral:rRNA from 1 species
GACGAACGCUGGCGGCAUGCCUAAUACAUGCAAGUCGAGCGAACAGAUGAAGUGCUUGCACUUCUGACGUUAGCGGCGAACGGGUGAGUAACACGUAAGGAAUCUACCUAUAAGCGGGGGAUAACAUUCGGAAACGGGUGCUAAUACCGCAUAAUAUCUUCUUCCGCAUGGAAGAAGAUUGAAAGACGGCUCUGCUGUCACUUAUAGAUGACCUUGCGGUGCAUUAGUUAGUUGGUGGGGUAACGGCCUACCAAGACGAUGAUGCAUAGCCGCACUGAGAGGGUGAUCGGCCACAUUUGGACUGAGACACGGCCCAAACUCAUACGGGAGGCAGCAGUAGGGAAUCUUCCGCAAUGGGCGAAAGCCUGACGGAGCAAUGCCGCGUGAGUGAAGAAGGCCUUCGGGUCGUAAACCUCUGUUAUAAGAGAAGAACAAAUUGUAGAGUAACUGCUACAGUCUUGACGGUAUCUUAUCAGAAAGCCACGGCUAACUACGUGCCAGCCGCCGCCGUAA